rnacentral:ncRNA from 1 species
GUUCCAAAAUACCUGGGAACAUGAACUUGCUUACGUUAACUGCAUUUCCCCAGUAACGGCCAUUGAACAUGGAAAAGCCCAGCACCGAAGUCUGCGGCUAGGCAAUGUGGUGUUCAGGUCGUUCCGCGGAGGUGCUACUCCAUUCCAAGUCCAGCAAUGAGUACGGUGAUGCUGACAUGGCUCAAAGAAGGUUAGUGGCCCAUUGGGGUGGAGAGGCAGAAAUGACAGCACCUUCCUGGAUAGACCUUGGAGUCGGGUUGUUUGUGAAUGCAGCCCAAAGUGGGUGGUAAACUCCAUCCAAGGCUAAAUAGUUGUAUGAGUCCGGCAGCGAACUGUGAAGGAGAGUUGGGAUUACUUCGAAGAGAGAGUAAAAAGUGCUUGAAACCGCAGCGCUUCUGACAUGC